rnacentral:lncRNA from 1 species
AUGGAAGUGCAAGCAGAGGCCACUCUGCAUCUGAACAGUUUCCAGGAUGAAAAGAAAGCACGAGAAAUCGUCAAAUCAUCGGGUUUAACCCUGACUGAGCUAGGCGGAGGCCGUGUGCAGGUGCGGGGUUAUUAUUCGCGGCUCAAAACUGCUAGCGCUCGUUUGAAGGAGCUUCUGGAGGCACCAACAAAGCCAACGCAGCACUUUUCUUGGUCGGAUGAAAAAGCUUCAUCGCCCUCUGAUUCCAGACGUCCAGGACCUCUUUAUCGGUCAAAGUCAUUACCGAAACAAAAGUCUCCACGUUCGCCGCUUUCACGCACUGUCUUCUCGCAAUCUUGGGAUCGUCAGACUUCUUUGCAGAACUCUUUUAGGCCGGGAAGUGAGUCUUUUCACAUUGACGCAGAUCUGUUUAAAUACGCGGACCGGCUGAAGAAUGAAGAGAUCCAAAACAUCCUGCGCACAUACAGUGUUCAGCUCUAUCCAAAGGAAUAUAGCGACAGCUUUAUCCUUACUUUAAAGGGAGCCGACUCCAAUAAAGCUGCAUUUAACUUGAAGCAAUUUUUCAUCAAUCUCAACGAUUCACUGCGCACCCAAGAUGUUCCAAUGAAGGAAAUGGGUCACGAUGGAACCGCUCUUUGGAAGCAGAUUAAAAAAAGUGGAAAUAUUUACAACUCAGUGCUGGUGUGUAAGAACAAGGACUCGCUUCACCUGGUUGGCCCUUCAGAGGAAAGCUACAUGUUAAAGCAGAAGCUGCUCAAUGGUCAGACUCCCCUCACAAAACGCGGAAGCUUCAGAUGGAAGAAGCUCACAAUACACUCAAAAAACUCCAAGCGCAAAGUCAAAGAAGGCGCGGUCGAUUACGACGACCCACCAGUUGGCGGCGCUGUUGGAGGAGAUCCGGUCAGAACACACGAUCUGUCCAGGCAACAAGGUUCAGGUGGUUUCUUUCAGUUAGGAAGCAAGCGUAAAAAAGAAAAUCCUGACAGAACGCACAGGCACCAGAAGGAGACAGAAACCCCUCCCUCAAAAUCAUCCAUCUCUAAAUUCCUCUCAUGGUUUUCGAAGAAGAGCAACAAGCCAAAGAACAAGAAGGAAGAGAAAUAG